rnacentral:misc_RNA from 1 species
UUUUCCUUUGAACCUGCACUUAAACAUUGGGCUUGUUUGCCUUAAAAAGAUAUGUAUACAAUUUGUGUAUACUGCUGUAUACAUGGCAUAUCCGACCCAUUUGGACCUUUCAAGGCUUGCAUUUUUUGAAACGUUAUCCACUGUACUUUUGACCUGAGUAUUCACAUUUUCUGUACCCAUAUAAUGUAUAUUCUGACUGUAUACCAGUG